UACGUAGGGUGCAAGCGUUGUCCGGAAUUAUUGGGCGUAAAGAGCUCGUAGGCGGUCUGUCGCGUCGGCUGUGAAAUCCCGAGGCUCAACCUCGGGUCUGCAGUCGAUACGGGCAAACUAGAGUAUUGCAGGGGAGACUGGAAUUCCUGGUGUAGCGGUGGAAUGCGCAGAUAUCAGGAGGAACACCGGUGGCGAAGGCGGGUUGCUGGGCUGAUACUGACGCUGAGGCGCGAAAGCCAGGGGGAGCGAACGGGG
rnacentral:rRNA from 1 species